rnacentral:rRNA from 1 species
UACGUAGGGGGCAAGCGUUGUUCGGAAUCACUGGGCUUAAAGGGCGCGUAGGCGGGUGCUCAAGUCCGGGGUGAAAUCCUCCAGCUCAACUGGAGAACUGCCUCGGAUACUGGGUGCCUCGAGGGUGGCAGGGGUAUGCGGAACUAUCGGUGGAGCGGUGAAAUGCGUUGAUAUCGAUAGGAACUCCGGUGGCGAAGGCGGCAUACUGGUCCACUUCUGACGCUGAGGCGCGAAAGCCAGGGGAGCAAACGGG